rnacentral:rRNA from 1 species
CCUACGGGUGGCAGCAGUGAGGAAUAUUGGUCAAUGGACGAGAGUCUGAACCAGCCAAGUAGCGUGAAUGAUGACUGCCCUAUGGGUUGUAAACUUCUUUUAUAUGGGAAUAAAAUGUUCCACGUGUGGGAUUUUGUAUGUACCAUAUGAAUAAGGAUCGGCUAACUCCGUGCCAGCAGCCGCGGUAAUACGGAGGAUCCGAGCGUUAUCCGGAUUUAUUGGGUUUAAAGGGAGCGUAGGUGGAUUGUUAAGUCAGUUGUGAAAGUUUGCGGCUCAACCGUAAAAGUGCAGUUGAAACUGGCAGUCUUGAGUACAGUAGAGGUGGGCGGAAUUCGUGGUGUAGCGGUGAAAUGCUUAGAUAUCACGAAGAACUCCGAUUGCGAAGGCAGUUCACUGGACUGCAACUGACACUGAGGCUCGAAAGUGUGGGUAUCAAACAGGAUUAGAUACCCUUGUAGUC